rnacentral:rRNA from 1 species
UGAGUAACCUGCCCUUGACUCUGGGAUAAGCGUUGGAAACGACGUCUAAUGCCGAAUACGACCUCCUUUCGCAUGAUCGGAGGUGGAAAGCUCCGGCGGAGAAGGAUGAGCUCGCGGCCUAUCAGCUAGUUGGUGUGGGUAAUGGCCCACCAAGGCGACGACGGGUAGCCGGCCUGAGAGGGUGACCGGCCACACUGGGACUGAGACACGGCCCAGACCUCCGUACGGGAGCAGCAGG